ACGCAUCCUGCCGAGUGGUCGUGCUGAUAACGUGUUAUAAAAUAACCUGGAAUAUAUGCGGAUAUUGAGCUGCACAUAAAAUAGAUGAGACACAGCUUUUAACGAGGUUCGGCUAUGCCUACGUCCUCGGAGAGCAGCAGCAGUAACCUUUCACUAUAAAAUGAUAUGGCUACAACUUUAGUGUUUACAACAUAUGUGGCUCACUGAAUUUUCUCUCUAGGAGAAUUUCUCUCUGCUUUCUCUUCUCUCUUUUCUUUUUCUUAUUUUCUUAUUUUUUCUUUCUCUGAUGGUGGUCUUAUUUAUAGGCUGAAAUAAUCACUAUUCACUAUUCACCCGUGACAGACAAACUCUACCAAAGUCUCUAAAUGAAUAGUAAUGUCACUAUUCACCCGUGACAGACAAACUCUACCAAAGUCUCCAAAUGAAUAGUAAUGAAUAGUUAGUGGGCUGCACACCAAGACUUUUACAACACUCCCCCUUGGAGACCACAUGUCCCUAGAUUGGUUGACUCAUUAAAACCUGGCUUGGAAAAACCCAGUGGGAAAAUCUAAGCGAAGGAAAAAGAGUACAACGUGCAUAUGUCCUAUGUUAGAGGACUCUUGAAUGCUCCCCCUGAUUUUGCAUGCUCCAACUUGAUUGCUUGCAGAGUUGUCGUAAUCCGAUGCCAUGCACUAACUUUUGGAAUGUACAUUUCGGCAAUGAUUUAGUGAAGAGAUCUGCCAGGUUAUCACUUGAGCGGAUUUGUCUGACUUUGAUUUCUUGACUCUUCUGGAGCUCAUGUGUAUAGAAAAACUUUGGUGAUAUGUGUUUGGUCCUGUCACCCUUGAUAUAUCCUCCUGUGAUCUGAGCAAUACAAGCUGCAUUGUCCUCAUUCAGAAUUGUUAGAGUGUCUGUUGUUGAGGGUAGGGCACAUGUGCUUCGGAUGUGAUGGAUUACCGACCUUAACCAAACGCAUUCACGACUGGCUUCAUGGAGGGCAAGUAUUUCUGAGUGAUUGGAAGAUGUGGCCACUAAUGUUUGUUUUGUUGAGCGCCAUGAGAUCGCAAUUCCUCCACAUGUAAAUACAUACCCAGUCUGUGAUCGUCCUUGAUGUGGAUCAGAGAGAUAUCCUGCAUCAGCAUAACCAAUAAUACUCUGGGCGUUGGUCGAUUCACUGGAAUAGAAUAACCCCAUGUCUGUUGUCCCACGAAGGUAUCGUAGAACAUGUUUGAUGCCGGUCCAGUGUCGCCUUGUUGGAGCAGAACUGUACCUUGCUAACAGAUUUACUGAGAAUGAUAUGUCUGGUCUGGUACAUUGUGCUAGGUACAAUAAAGCACCUAUUGCACUAAGAUAUGGUACUUCUGGACCAAGGACCAUUUCAUCAUUCCCUUUUGGACGAUAUGGGUCUUUCUUAGUGUCAAGCGAUCGAACGACCAUUGGAGUGCUAAGUGGAUGGGCUUUAUCCAUGCCAAACCGUUUCAAUACUUUCUCAGUAUAAGUUGAUUGAUGCACCAAAAUUCCAUUAGCACUGUGUUCAAUCUGCAAGCCAAGACAAUAUUUUGUCUUUCCAAGGUCCUUCAUCUCAAACUCACGUUUGAGAUAAUCAACAGUCUUUUGAAGCUCUGCAGAAGUUCCAAUUAGAUUCAUGUCGUUGACAUAUACUGCCACUAUCGCAAAUCCAGACUUUGAUUUCUUAAUAAACACACAUGGGCAAACAGGAUCAUUUGUGUAUCCUUCCUUCAGUAAAUACUCACUGAGACGAUUGUACCACAUUCGUCCAGAUUGUUUUAGCCCAUAUAAUGAUCUUCUCAAUUUAACUGAGAACAUGCCCCGUGGUUUGUUUCUGGCUGCUUCAGGCAACCUGAAUCCUUCUGGAACUUUCAUGUAUAUAUCUGUAUCCAAUUCUCCAUACAAAUAUGCGGUAAUGACAUCCAUGAGUCUCAUUUCAAGUUUUUCUGAAACCGCCAAACUUAUUAGGUAACGGAAUGUAAUUGUGUCCAUUACUGGAGAGUAUGUUUCCACAUAAUCAAUUCCAGGCCUUUGUGAAAAACCUUGCGCAACGAGUCGCGCUUUAUACCUUGAGAUCUCAUUUUUCUCAUUGCGCUUUCUUGUAAAUACCCACUUGUAACCUACAGGGUUCACAUUGGGUGGAGUUGGACUAAUAUGUCCAAAAACACUCCUCUUUUCCAAAGAAUUUAAUUCUGCCUGGAUUGCAUCCUUCCACUUGGGCCAAUCUUGCCUCUGUGUACUCAUUAAUAGAGCGCGGUUCAAUAUCAUCAUCUUUUAUGAUUUCAGCAGCCACUGAGAAUGCAAAUAUAUCAUCGAUGAUCAUCUCAUUUCUACUCCACAAUUCAUUAGUGGACGUAUAAUUUAUGGAGAUUUCUUGACUUUCAGGUACGGUUGCCACUCCAGGGGCACUUGUCUCACCAAUGACGUUUUCCUUAUCAAGAAGUACCUGUCCCUCUUUGGGGGCAUUUGAAUUAUGAAUUGUGGGCUCUCUAUUUAUUUCAUUUGGAUUCAUUUUGUCCAUCAACUUCCUCUUUCGAGGAACUGAAUCCUUUGAGCCUAGUGGUCUGCCACGUUUUAGGCGUGCAGCAGAUGAACCAUUUGCUGGCACAGUGCUUUGUCCAUUAUGGACAUCAAUCCGUGCGGGUGCAUUUGCAGCUGGGAUAUGAGAUUUCGUCACCUUUGCUGCAUCAUUAAAUGCAUCUGGCAUCUGAUUUGCAAUACUUUGGAGGUGAACGAUCCUUCUCACUUCGUUUUCGCAUUGAGCAGUAUGAGGAUCGAGAUGAGACAAUAUGGAUACAUUCCAGGAUAAUUCAUGUCGUUUUUCAGGAAUGAGUUUGCCUUGUUCUUUAGACACAGAUUUUUCUCCCCCUAAUGGUGGGAAGAUUGUCUCAUCAAAAUCACAAUCCGCAAAUCGUGCGGUAAAAAUAUCACCCGUCAGGGGUUCCAAGUAUCUGAUGAUAGAUGGUGAAUAAACACCAACAUAAAUUCCCAAUCUGCGUUGAGGGCCCAUCUUAGUACGUUGCGAUAGUGCAAUAGGCACAUAUACCGCACACCCAAAAAUUCUUAAAUGUGAAAUGUUUGGUUGAUUUCCCAAUACGAGUUGUAUUGGAGAAACUUGAUUAUUGGCGACGGGCCUCAAUCGCACAAGCGAUGCUGCAUGUAAAAUGGCAUAUCCCCAAGCAGAAACUGGCAACUUUGUUUUCAUUAGCAAAGUGCGUGUUAUCAAUUGAAGGCGUUUAAUUAAAGCUUCUGCCAAGCCAUUUUGAGUAUGCACAUGGGGAACAGGAUGUUCAAUAUCAAUGCCUAGUGACAUGCAGUAGUCAUCAAAAGUCUGAGAUGUAAAUUCACCAGCAUUAUCGAGUCUGAUUGACUUAAUGGGAUAAUCUGGGAAUUGAGCUCGUAAUUUAAUUAUCUAAGCCAAAAGCCUAGUAAAUGUCAUAUUCCGAGUAGAUAAAAGACAAACAUGUGACCAUCGGGUAGAUGCGUCCACCAAGACCAUAAAGUACCGAAAUGGUCCACAUGGGGGAUGAAUGGGUCCACAAAUGUCCCCUUGAAUUCUCUGCAAAAAUGAUGGAGACUCAACAUCAACCUUUGGUUGUGAUGGUUUGAUCACCAACUUCCCUUGUGAACAAUCUUGGCAAAAGAUGUCGCUUGAUAACAUAAUGUGUUUAGUCAACAAGGGAUGUCCUUUAGAGUUGGUGAUGAUCCUGCGCAUCAUGGUGGAUCCAGGAUGACCCAAUCUGUCAUGUCAAAGCUUAAAAGCAUUUGAGUCAGUAGACUCUUGGUCCAUGACACUAUGUGCCUCAAUUGUCCGUAUGGUUGUGUAAUACAACCCUGAUGAGAGCUCACAAAGCUUUUCCAGUAUACGCUUUUGGGUAUCACUGGAGGUAAUACAAAGAUAUUCCAUGUGUUCCUCUUUCUUUGUUUCAACAUGGUAGCCAUUCAAACGUAUAUCUUUGAAACUCAACAGAUUCCUUCUGGAGUUAGAUGAAUAUAAAGCAUCUGGAAUGGACAAUAUUGUUCCAUUCGGUAACAUAAUAUGGGCUAUUCCUGAACCUUCGAUCAGAUCUGCAGGACCUGAUAUGGUUGUUACCUUUGCUUUUGUAAGUAUUAAUUUUGAGAAAUACUUCCAAUCUAGAAGAAUCGUAUGAGUAGUUGCGCCGCCUGCGAGACAAAUAUCUCUGCCAUAGCCUUUGUUUUGAGGGCAUCCAUAAUUUACAUCCAUGCCACCAAAUAAGUAAAAUGAGCUGGAAUACUAAAGAAGACAACAUUACCACUUUUAUUUAAACAACACUUCAGCUAAUACAAAUAGAUCCACUAACUAUUCAUUACUAUUCAUUUGGAGACUUUGGUAGAGUUUGUCUGUCACGGGUGAAUAGUGACAUUACUAUUCAUUUGGAGACUUUGGUAGAGUUUGUCUGUCACGGGUGAAUAGUGAAUAGUGAUUAUUUCAGCCUAUAAAUAAGACCACCAUCAGAGAAAGAAAAAAUAAGAAAAGAAGAAAAAGAAAAGAGAGAAGAGAAAGCAGAGAGAAAUUCUCCUAGAGAGAAAAUUCAGUGAGCCACAUAUGUUGUAAACACUAAAGUUGUAGCCAUAUCAUUUUAUAGUGAAAGGUUACUGCUGCUGCUCUCCGAAGACGUAGGCAUAGCCGAACCUCGUUAAAAGCUGUGUCUCAUCUAUUUUACGUGCAGCUCAAUAUCCGCAUAUAUUCCAGGUUAUUUUAUAACACGUUAUCAGCACGACCACUCGGCAGGAUGCGUCCACCAAGACCAUAAAGUACCGAAAUGGUCCACAUAAGGAAUUUAAUCUAAUUCGGACUUAAUAAAGAAGACAACAUUACCACUUUUAUUGGAUUGAAAUUUAAACAACACUUCAGCUAAUACAAAUAGUACAUUAAGGAAUUUAAUCUAAUUUGGACUCAUAACCUUCAUUCCCUUUUUCAGUAACAAAAUCAGAAACAUCUAGAUGCGUCUUGUUUAGCUGACGUGAUAUUUCUGAUGAGCCAUCUGUGGCUGGCGGAGCAUGAUCAAUGUAAUUUAUCUCCACUUUCCUGUUCUUAAGUGAAGCUUGAUAGAGAUCCGCCAAAUGCCUGGGCGUACGACAUGCGCGCAUCCAAUGUCCCUUUGCACCACAUCUGUGACAAGGGCUUUCAACAUUUCUAGGCACAUGGCUCAUCUGUGCCUUUCCCUUAUUACGGGAUGCAUUUUUGCCAUUCGUGGAUGGACCGCUCCUUGGACCUAAACCCUCUGAACGAGCACCACGAUUUUUUUUACUUCCUUGCCAGUGGCCACGCUUGCCCCCUCGCCCACGUUUGUGGAUACUACCACGAGAUGAAGUGGCAUUCACUUCCUGAGAUGCAGCAUUUAUUUCAGGAAGUGGUGCUGAGCCCGUUGGGCGAGAUUGGUGAUUCUUUAAUAAGAGCUCAUUAUUCUGCUCAGCUAACAAGAGGUAAGAUACAAGUUUCGAGUACUUCUUGAAACUGCUAUGUCUGUAUUGCUGUUGAAGGAGGACAUUUGAAGCAUGAAAAGUGCUCAGAGUUUUUUCGAGCAUAUCCUCCUCAGAUAUAUUUUCCCCACAUAGCCUCAUUAAUGAGGUAAUUCUGUGCAUAGCAGAGUUAUACUCGGACACUGACUUGAAAUCUUGAAAUCUCAAGUGGGUCCAUUCGUAUCUAGCUCUUAGGAGAGUCAUCGUCUUCUGGUGAUCGUAUCUUUCACCUAUAGCUUUCCACAGAACCAACGGUUCAUCAACCACCACAUAUUCGCUCUUCAACGCUUCAUGGAUGUGGCGGCGAAGAAAGAUCAUGGUCUUCGCAUUCUCUUCAGGCGAAGCAUCAUUCUCAUCUACAAUUGUUUGUCCGAGGCCAUUGGCUCGUAGAUGAAUUUUGGCAUCCAAGACCCAUGAUAAAUAGUUGUCCCCGGAAAGGCCCACGGCAGCAAACUCGAGUUUUGCCAAAUUUGCCAUCUAAAACUUUAGGCUCGAGAUCUGAAAUAUUAAGCCACUUAUUAAUAGGAAUUUCAGGCCCUCAUUAUUCAGGUAUAUUAAUUGAUGAUAAAUAAAGUGUUAUGAAUUUGCUGGUAUGGACGAUAAACCCGCACCAUACCUUAAAUGUGCGGUAAAUUAAAUUCAUAAAGUUAAGGUGCUUGUAUGGGCACUAAUUCUGCUCCAUACAUUUAAAUAAAAGUAAAGGCGUGGACGAUAAACCCGCACCACCCUUUAAAUAAAUAUUGCCGUAUGGGUAAUAAACCUACACCAUACCAUAAAUAAAAUAAAUGUGGGGAUAAAAACCUCCACCUAAUAUGAAGUGCAUAAUAUAUUAUAUAGUGUGGGCAAUAUAACUGCGCCACUAUUCAAGAUAUAAUAGAUGGGUUUUAAGAUCACACCAUCAUUUUAUUACAAUAAUUUGUAUUACAACGCGAUGGGUAAAAAAUUACACCACCAUAAAAUAACAGGACUGAUUAAACAACAUAGAAAUUACGUUACAAAGAAGUGAAUUAAACAAGCAUGGAUUAAACAACAUAGAAAUUGUGAGAACACAAAAAGGAAAGUUUGCAUGUCGUUGUAGUAGUAAAGUGAGAGUAGACAUAUGACAGAGAGGAGACAGAGAAGUAACUACAUAGUGUUGAGUUGGAAAAAUUUCAGAAAUAAAAGAAGAGACUAUCGUGCUGAUAACGUGUUAUAAAAUAACCUGGAAUAUAUGCGGAUAUUGAGCUGCACGUAAAAUAGAUGAGACACAGCUUUUAACGAGGUUCGGCUAUGCCUACGUCCUCGGAGAGCAGCAGCAGUAACCUUUCACUAUAAAAUGAUAUGGCUACAACUUUAGUGUUUACAACAUAUGUGGCUCACUGAAUUUUCUCUCUAGGAGAAUUUCUCUCUGCUUUCUCUUCUCUCUUUUCUUUUUCUUCUUUUCUUAUUUUUUCUUUCUCUGAUGGUGGUCUUAUUUAUAGGCUGAAAUAAUCACUAUUCACUAUUCACCCGUGACAGACAAACUCUACCAAAGUCUCCAAAUGAAUAGUAAUGUCACUAUUCACCCGUGACAGACAAACCCUACCAAAGUCUCCAAAUGAAUAGUAAUGAAUAGUUAGUGAGCUCCACACCAAGACUUUUACAACAUAAACAUUAAUAAGCAACACUGCUACAGAAGAUAUGCAUAGAAGUCCAGUUGAGUUACUAAACUUGAAAUAUAGAAUAAGAAAUCAUAUUCGCAGGCACCGAAAACAAACAGCUAACGUUGGGACAGGGAGAGAACGUACAUUGACCUCAUUAUCGACACAGUUUUCAGGUAUGCACGCCAGCAUCAAUGAAUUGUAGGGCAGCCUUCUGUACAUACAG
rnacentral:lncRNA from 1 species